rnacentral:rRNA from 1 species
UAUGAACGCUAGCUACAGGCUUAACGCAUGCAAGUCGAGGGGCAUCAGGAAGAAAGCUUGCUUUCUUUGCUGGCGACCGGCGCACGGGUGAGUAACACGUAUCCAACCUGCCCUUUACUCGGGGAUAGCCUUUCGAAAGAAAGAUUAAUACCCGAUGGCAUAAUGAUUCCGCAUGGUUUCAUUAUUAAAGGAUUCCGGUAAAGGAUGGGGAUGCGUUCCAUUAGGUUGUUGGUGAGGUAACGGCUCACCAAGCCUUCGAUGGAUAGGGGUUCUGAGAGGAAGGUCCCCCACAUUGGAACUGAGACACGGUCCAAACUCCUACGGGAGGCAGCAGUGAGGAAUAUUGGUCAAUGGGCGCUAGCCUGAACCAGCCAAGUAGCGUGAAGGAUGAAGGCUCUAUGGGUCGUAAACUUCUUUUAUAUAAGAAUAAAGUGCAGUAUGUAUACUGUUUUGUAUGUAUUAUAUGAAUAAGGAUCGGCUAACUCCGUGCCAGCAGCCGCGGUAAUACGGAGGAUCCGAGCGUUAUCCGGAUUUAUUGGGUUUAAAGGGAGCGUAGGUGGACUGGUAAGUCAGUUGUGAAAGUUUGCGGCUCAACCGUAAAAUUGCAGUUGAUACUGUCAGUCUUGAGUACAGUAGAGGUGGGCGGAAUUCGUGGUGUAGCGGUGAAAUGCUUAGAUAUCACGAAGAACUCCGAUUGCGAAGGCAGCUCACUGGACUGCAACUGACACUGAUGCUCGAAAGUGUGGGUAUCAAACAGGAUUAGAUACCCUGGUAGUCCACACAGUAAACGAUGAAUACUCGCUGUUUGCGAUAUACAGUAAGCGGCCAAGCGAAAGCAUUAAGUAUUCCACCUGGGGAGUACGCCGGCAACGGUGAAACUCAAAGGAAUUGACGGGGGCCCGCACAAGCGGAGGAACAUGUGGUUUAAUUCGAUGAUACGCGAGGAACCUUACCCGGGCUUAAAUUGCAGUGGAAUGAUGUGGAAACAUGUCAGUGAGCAAUCACCGCUGUGAAGGUGCUGCAUGGUUGUCGUCAGCUCGUGCCGUGAGGUGUCGGCUUAAGUGCCAUAACGAGCGCAACCCUUAUCUUUAGUUACUAACAGGUUAUGCUGAGGACUCUAGAGAGACUGCCGUCGUAAGAUGUGAGGAAGGUGGGGAUGACGUCAAAUCAGCACGGCCCUUACGUCCGGGGCUACACACGUGUUACAAUGGGGGGUACAGAAGGCAGCUAGCGGGUGACCGUAUGCUAAUCCCAAAAGCCUCUCUCAGUUCGGAUCGAAGUCUGCAACCCGACUUCGUGAAGCUGGAUUCGCUAGUAAUCGCGCAUCAGCCACGGCGCGGUGAAUACGUUCCCGGGCCUUGUACACACCGCCCGUCAAGCCAUGGGAGCCGGGGGUACCUGAAGUACGUAACCGCAAGGAUCGUCCUAGGGUA